CCCUGCCCAAUCGGCGCCGUCCGCCCGAGCGCGGCGGUUCAGCGGCGAGGUGAGCCCCGUUUCCUCGGCCGAUCGCGAGCGCCGCGCGCCUUCCCUUCGCCCGCUCGCUCGCUUGGAGAGAAGAGGCGGCCGCGCUUCCUGCGCCUCGACUGGCGAUGGAGAGAGGAAAGAGAUCCAAGGAGAGAGUCCCCGGGAAGCGAGGGGCGGGCGGCUGCAGUGCAAGUCCACCCCGGGAUCCGUUUUAGGGAGCCCAUCCGGAAGGAAAGAGAUCCAAGGAGACGGCUCUAGACCGGGAAGCGAGCUCCCGGGACCAGCCUUCUUCAUUAGGCAGAGGGAGGCCUUAGGCAGCCCAUUCGAAGUCUCGGAAAGAAGGCAGGGAAGUGCGCCUUCCUUAGUUUAUUAUCAUGGCAUCCUUGCAUUUGUAUUGCCGCUCAGUGGGAUGAAAGAUAAUGUAAGAGGAAAGAGGAAACAGAUGAGACGAAGGAACAAAGAAAGAAAGAACAAAAGAGGAACAAAACCAGAUUGGCAAUUAUUUCCGUACAUAAUUAUUAAAGAAUAAAUAGAGCCAUUUUAUGUUAGGUUGUCUGCCUUUCCUUACACUCGCAAUGUUACUUGGCUUAACCAUGUGAACUAAUUCCCAAAUCCUUAAGAUCUAAUCAUCUAAUGUAGGAUUGUUUUCCCCUCCAGUUGUGACAUACCAUUAUGUGGGCAGUUGUUAACAAAUAAGUUAUGAUUUCCACAUCUUCCAGUAAAACCAAAUCUCUUACAUAAAAAAGAAAAACACUAGUGGAUCUACUAGUAAUGUACAGUGCAUUAUAAUUUCAAUUUCAUGUCCAGAAACUCCUUAUUUUAAGGCAAGCCCACAAUAUCUGAAGCACACCAGUGCUUAAGAUGUCUUUUGCCCACAUUUGUAUUUCAGUGUGCUGGGUUUGUAGCUAUCAGUAUGCAAUUUGCAGCCUGCGUCAGCGCAUAGGAGUGCUCAAAGCACUAAUUUCCACAUAUAUCCCUACCACACAUAUUCAAAAACCAACAGCAAUCAGAAAUAUAUAAUAAAGGAAGUGAGAGUGAUUCUACUUAGUAAAUGUAGAAUGGCUUAGGAUGAAUAAACCUAACAAAGUCUGUCUUCCAAAAUUAUGAAAUUAAAGUUCUAUUGUUGUCAAACCAUC